rnacentral:piRNA from 1 species
UGCAUUGAAGCAAUCUUUAUGGGACUAGACC